ACGGCGAGUGAACCGGGAAGAGCUCAAAUUUGAAAUCUGGCGUCCUCAGGGCGUCCGAGUUGUAAUCUAUAGAGGCGUUUUCCGUGCCGGACCGUGUCCAAGUUCCUUGGAACAGGAUAUCAAAGAGGGUGACAAUCCCGUACUUGACACGACGACCGGUGCUCUGUGAUACGUCUUCUACGAGUCGAGUUGUUUGGGAAUGCAGCUCAAAAUGGGUGGUGAGUUCCAUCUAAAGCUAAAUAUUGGCGAGAGACCGAUAGCGAACAAGUACCGUGAGGGAAAGAUGAAAAGCACUUUGGAAAGAGAGUUAAACAGUACGUGAAAUUGUUGAAAGGGAAACGAUUGAAGUCAGUCGUGACCGAGAGGCUCAGCCGGUUCUGCCGGUGUAUUCCCCUCGGUCGGGUCAACAUCAGUUUUGUCCGGUGGAUAAGGGCGGUAGGAAGGUGGCACCCUCGGGUGUGUUAUAGCCUGCCGUCGCAUACAUCGGGUGAGACUGAGGAACGCAGCUCGCCUUUAUGGCCGGGGUUCGCCCACGUCCGAGCUUAGGAUGUUGACAUAAUGGCUUUAAACGACCCGUCUUGAAACACGG
rnacentral:rRNA from 1 species